UACGUAGGGUGCGAGUGUUGUCCGGAAUUAUUGGGCGUAAAGAGCGUGUAGGCGGCCUUUUAAGUCCUGCGUGAAAUCCUGCGGCUCAACCGCAGACGGUCGUGGGAAACUGGAAGGCUAGAGUGCGGGAGAGGAGAGUGGAAUUCCCGGUGUAGCGGUGAAAUGCGCAGAUAUCGGGAAGAACACCCGUGGCGAAGGCGGCUCUCUGGAACGCAACUGACGCUGAGACGCGAAAGCGUGGGGAGCAAACAGG
rnacentral:rRNA from 1 species